UACGGAGGGUGCAAGCGUUAUCCGGAUUCACUGGGUUUAAAGGGUGUGUAGGCGGAUAUUUAAAGUCAGUGGUGAAAUCUCCAGGCUCAACCUGGAAACUGCCAUUGAUACUAUUUAUCUUGAAUAUCGUUGAGGUAGGCGGAAUAUGUCAUGUAGCGGUGAAAUGCUUAGAGAUGACAUAGAACACCAAUUGCGAAGGCAGCUUACUAAACGAUUAUUGACGCUGAGGCACGAAAGCGUGGGGAUCAAACAGG
rnacentral:rRNA from 1 species